rnacentral:lncRNA from 1 species
UGCCGUCCGAUGGAUGGGAACAUCGGAACGUGGCUUGCUUCAAGAGUGCGCCACUGCUUUGACCGGUCAAAGAAUCAACAAAUUUCUCGCCGUCGAGGUGGCAAACAUUAGAAGCCAACCGGAGUCCUGUAACCGCCGGCGAUCCAAGUACCAAAUGUAGAGAUUACCGAUGGAAGGAUCGUCGUCCCAUCCUCGGAUCGUCAAGGAUGGCAGACGGGAGGAGGUGCGGUGACCGGCAAAGGUCCAGAGAGGUACGUCUCAUUGGAUUGCGCGAACUCAUUGGUUCGUUAAUUUCCUGGAAGUCUGUUUAAUUAGAAUCAGUAAUGAUUCUCGUUAAACGUGUGGGAGAGAUAGCUAGGAGUAAAGACUUUCCUGGUAGGUUCGUAUUUGUUUGGUAAUGAGCUUUAUAUAUAUAUAUCUGCCGAUUCGAGGCUAUUUCUGUGUUUUUAUAUGGUAGUGGGAUGCUUUGCAGAUGUUCUUAUAAUUACCAUGUUGUUUCUUUUUCAGUUUGUUUCACGUUUCUGAUGGAUUUCUGGGCAGCAAUGCCUGGAUGCGUAGUAGGAUGUGCUCCGGGGGAUAGCUAGCUAGAAAGAUUACAACAGGGAACAGAAAGAAUCACGGAGGUUGCGGUGCCUGCGUUGCACCACAAAGGGCUGCGUGUCCCCGGAGAGGCACAAAUCAUCCAUCUUGAUGCAUCUUGUUUGGCAUCCAAUGCAUUUCUCUCUAUUUUUGAGAGUUGCGACAAUAGUCUGUCUUCGAUAUGAAUAACGUGGCAGCUAUUCAGGA